rnacentral:tRNA from 1 species
ACCUGGGUGGCUCAGUCGGUUAAGUAUCCAACUUCAGUCUGGGUCACUAUCUCAUGGUUUGUGGGUUCAAACCCCACCUUGGGCU